rnacentral:rRNA from 1 species
AGCUGAUCACUGGGCUUAAAGCGUGCGCAGGCGGUUUUGUAAGACAGAGGUGAAAUCCCCGGGCUCAACCUGGGAACUGCCUUUGUGACUGCAAGGCUGGAGUGCGGCAGAGGGGGGAUGGAAUUCCGCGUGUAGCAGUGAAAUGCGUAGAUAUGCGGAGGAACACCGAUGGCGAAGGCAAUCCCCUGGGCCUGCACUGACGCUCAUGCACGAAAGCGUGGGGAGCAAACA